rnacentral:rRNA from 1 species
UACAGAGGUCUCAAGCGUUGUUCGGAUUCAUUGGGCGUAAAGGGUGCGUAGGUGGCGAGGCAAGUCAGAUGUGAAAUCCCGGGGCUCAACCCCGGAACUGCAUUUGAAACUGCCUUGCUCGAGUACUGGAGAGGAGACUGGAAUUUACGGCGUAGCAGUGAAAUGCGUAGAUAUCGUAAGGAAGACCAGUGGCGAAGGCGAGUCUCUGGACAGUUACUGACACUGAGGCACGAAGGCCAGGGGAGCAAACGGG